rnacentral:rRNA from 1 species
CCUACGGGUGACAGCAGUGAGGAAUAUUGGUCAAUGGCCGGAAGGCUGAACCAGCCAUGCCGCGUGAAGGUCAGUGCCCUAUGGGCGUUAAACUUCUUUUGUGCGGGAGCAAUACUGGUCACGUGUGGCCAGACGAGAGUACCGUACGAAUAAGCAUCGGCUAACUCCGUGCCAGCAGCCGCGGUAAUACGGGGGAUGCAAGCGUUAUCCGGAUUUAUUGGGUUUAAAGGGUGCGUAGGCUGUGAGGUAAGUCAGCGGUGAAAUGCCCCCGCUCAACGGGGUGAAGUGCCAUUGAUACUGCCUGGCUGGAAUGCGGAUGCCGUGGGAGGAAUGUGUGGUGUAGCGGUGAAAUGCAUAGAUAUCACACAGAACACCGAUUGCGAAGGCAUCUCACGAAGCCGCGAUUGACGCUGAUGCACGAAAGCGUGGGUAUCAAACAGGAUUAGAUACCCUUGUAGUC